rnacentral:rRNA from 1 species
GUAACUGCGAGUGAAGUGGCAAAAGCUCAAAUUUGAAAUCUGGUACCCCUGGUACCCGAGUUGUAAUUUGGAGAGACAAAUCUUGUUGAUGGCACCGGCCUAGGUUCCUUGGAACAGGACAACACAGAGGGUGAGAAUCCCGUUCAUGGCUGGACUGCCGUUGCAUAAUAGACUGUCUUCGACGAGUCGAGUUGUUUGGGAAUGCAGCUCAAAAUGGGUGGUAAAUGUCAUCUAAAGCUAAAUAUUGGCGAGAGACCGAUAGCGCACAAGUAGAGUGAUCGAAAGAUGAAAAGCACUUUGAAAAGAGAGUCAAAAAGUACGUGAAAUUGCUGAAAGGGAAGCGCUUGAGACCAGACUCGAGUCGUGGUGAUCAGCUGUGCUUCUGUACGGUGCCACUUGCCACGGUUUGGGCCAGCAUCGGUUCCGGCGGUCGGAUAAAAGGUGGGGGAAUGUAGCUUCCUUCGGGGAGUGUUAUAGCCCUUAUCACAAUGCGGCCAGCUGGGAUCGAGGACCGCGCUUUCGGGCUAGGA